UACGGAGGGUGCAAGCGUUAUCCGGAUUCACUGGGUUUAAAGGGUGCGUAGGUGGGUUGGUAAGUCAGUGGUGAAAUCUCCGAGCUUAACUUGGAAACUGCCAUUGAUACUAUCAGUCUUGAAUACCGUGGAGGUCAGCGGAAUAUGUCAUGUAGCGGUGAGAUGCUUAGAUAUGACAUAGAACACCAAUUGCGAAGGCAGCUGGCUACACGAGUAUUGACACUGAGGCACGAAAGCGUGGGGAUCAAACAGG
rnacentral:rRNA from 1 species